rnacentral:rRNA from 1 species
ACGAACGCUGGCGGCAGGCCUCAAACAUGCAAGUCUAGGGGGUGUGGCAAUACAUCACCGGCGGACGGGUGCGUAACGCGUGGGAAUGUACCUAUUGGUUCGGAACAACUGCGGGAAACUGCAGCUAAUACCGAAUGUGCCCGAAAGGGGAAAGAUUUAUCGCCAAUGGAUCAGCCCGCGUAGGAUUAGCUAGUUGGUGAGGUAAUGGCUCACCAAGGCUCCGAUCCUUAGCUGUUCUGAGAGGAAGAUCAGCCACACUGGGACUGAGACACGGCCCAGACUCCUACGGGAGGCAGCAGUUGGGAAUCUUGGACAAUGGGGGAAACCCUGAUCCAGCCAUGCCGCGUGAGUGAUGAAGGCCUUCGGGUUGUAAAACUCUUUCGACGGGGACGAUAAUGACGGUACCCGUAGAAGAAGCUCCGGCUAACUUCGU